rnacentral:lncRNA from 1 species
UUCUGCAGGUCGUGAUCUUUGGGUCAUGUGGUCAAGGCCCACUUUGGGCCCCAUGUUCAACAUAGAGUCUUCUUGGAGUUUCUCUCUGCCUCUCCCUGUGCCCUACCCCCUCUCUAAACUAAAUAAAUAGAUCUUAAAAAACAUUUUUUUUUUAAAUCACUUGCCAAACUAGGAAUAGAAGGGAAUUCACCCACCAUGAUAAAGGGCAUCUAUGAAAGACACACAACUAAGAUCAGAAACAAGACAGGAAGUCUGUUCUCACCACUUCUAUUCAACAUUCUACUCAUGAUGCUAAUCAGAAACUGCCACAACCACCCUAGCCUCCAAUGACUACCAUGCUGAUCAGUCAGCAACUGUCAACAUUGAAGCAAGUCCCUCC